AGUUAUGGUGCUCACUUUGGUACUAAAAUUAGGAUGAUACAGAGAAGAUUAGCACGGCCCCUGAACAUGGAUGACAUGAAAAUUCACGAAGCAACUUGAUGAUCU